rnacentral:rRNA from 1 species
UGGCGGGACGGGGUGGAGUAAUGUCUGGGAAACUGCCUGAUGGAGGGGGAUAACUACUGGAAACGGUAGCUAAUACCGCAUAACGUCGCAAGACCAAAGAGGGGGACCGUUCGGGCCUCUUGCCAUCGGAUGUGCCCAGAUGGGAUUAGCUAGUAGGUGGGGUAACGGCUCACCUAGGCGACGAUCCCUAGCUGGUCUGAGAGGAUGACCAGCCACACUGGAACUGAGACACGGUCCAG